UACGUAGGGUGCAAGCGUUAUCCGGAAUUAUUGGGCGUAAAGAGCUCGUAGGCGGUUUGUCGCGUUCUGCUGUGAAAACUGGAGGCUCAACCUCCAGCCUGCAGUGGGUACGGGCAAAGCUAGAGUGCGGUAGGGGAGAUUGGAAUCCUGGUGUAGCGGUGGAAUGCGCAGAUAUCAGGAGGAACACCGAUGGCGAAGGCAGAUCUCUGGGCC
rnacentral:rRNA from 1 species